rnacentral:rRNA from 1 species
CUUGGUCAUUUAGAGGAAGUAAAAGUCGUAACAAGGUUUCCGUAGGUGAACCUGCGGAAGGAUCAUUAUCGAUUUUUAAAGAUGUGCUGGCACUCCUUCACCGGUUUGCAUGUGCACUCUGCAAAAUCUCCUUCUCUUACCCCACUGUGCACACCCAAGUAGACAAACAGAGUUACAGAGCAAUCUGUGUAAUUCCUGAUUUGCCUAUGUUUUUAUCAAACACCAAUAACAAUCUCAGAAUGAUCUAUAUAGUAAGCUUUUAACAAGCUGAAAUUUAAUACAACUUUCAACAAUGGAUCUCUUGGUUCUCGCAUCGAUGAAGAACGCAGCGAAUUGCGAUAUGUAAUGUGAAUUGCAGAAUUCAGUGAAUCAUCGAAUCUUUGAACGCACCUUGCACCCUCUGGCAUUCCGGAGGGUAUGCCUGUUUGAGUGUCAUUACUCUCUCAACACAAGAAACUUUGUCUCCUUGUGCUUGGAUAUUGAAGGUUUUGCUGGCGCAAACAACUGUCAGCUCCUUUUAAAUGUAUUAGCAGAGCAGUAUAGGACUGGCCUCGGUUUGAUAAGAAACUUUAUCUAUGCUGUCGCUGGGUUUUCCUCUUUGUGCUCAGCUUCAAAUUGUCUUCGGACUGUCUCUUGAGGCAACAAAAUCUCUAUUGAUCGACCUCAAAUCAGGUAGGACUACCCGCUGAACUUAAGCAUAUCAAUAAGCGGAGGA